GACGAACGCUGGCGGCGUGCUUAACACAUGCAAGUCGAACGGAAAGGCCCUGCUUGCAGGGUACUCGAGUGGCGAACGGGUGAGUAACACGUGGGUGCUCUGCCCUGCACUUCGGGAUAAGCCUGGGAAACUGGGUCUAAUACCGGAUAGGAGCCAUUUUUAGUGUGAUGGUUGGAAAGUUUUUUCGGUGUAGGAUGAGCUCGCGGCCUAUCAGCUUGUUGGUGGGGUAAUGGCCUACCAAGGCGGCGACGGGUAGCCGGCCUGAGAGGGUGGACGGCCACAUUGGGACUGAGAGACGGCCCAGACUCCUACGGGAGGCAGCAGUGGGGAAUAUUGCACAAUGGGCGCAAGCCUGAUGCAGCGACGCCGCGGGGGGGAUGACGGCCUUCGGGUUGGAAACUCCUUUCGCUAGGGACGAAGCUUUUUGUGACGGUACCUAGAUAAGAAGCACCGGCUAACUACGUG
rnacentral:rRNA from 1 species